GUAGAGUUACCCCGCUGCAGCAAAAUCUGCAGCCGGGCCUCUCAACCCCGAAUG
rnacentral:ncRNA from 2 species